AUUCAAGCGUUUUGAAGGGCAUCUGGUGGAUGCCUAGGCGAUCAGAGGCGAAGAAGGACGUGGCAGGCUGCGAUAAGCCGCGGUUAGGGGUCAACACCCGUUAACCCGCGGAUCUCCGAAUGAGGAAACUCCACUCUUAUGAGUGAUCCCGUGAUGAAUACAUAGUCACGGCGAGGCGAACCAGGGGAAUUGAAACAUCUCAGUACCCUGAGGAAAGGACAUCAACCGAGACUCCGUUAGUAGUGGCGAGCGAACGCGGAUCAGCCCAGUGGUCUUUAUGUAAGAAUUAGAAGCUGUUGGAAACCAGCGCCAAAGUGGGUGAUAGCCCCGUAUAAGUAGAAAGCAUAAAGAUCCUUGAGUAGGACGGAACACGUGAAAUUCUGUCUGAACAUGGGGGGACCAUCCUCCAAGGCUAAGUACUCUCGAUCGACCGAUAGUGAACUAGUACCGUGAGGGAAAGGUGAAAAGCACCCCAAGUAGGGGAGUGAAACAGUCCUGAAACCAGAUGCCUACAAACAGUAGGAGGGGCGUAAGCCCUGACUGCGUACCUUUUGUAUAAUGGGUCCGCGAGUUAGUCUUACAUGCAAGCUUAAGCCGUUAGGUGGAGGCGCAGCGAAAGCGAGUCUGAAUAGGGCGACAUAGUAUGUAGGAUUAGACCCGAAACCCGGUGAUCUAGCCACGACCAGAUUGAAAGUAGGGUAACACCUACUGGAGGAUCGAACCCAUGCCUGUUGAAAAAGUCUGGGAUGAGUUGUGGUUAGGGGUGAAAGGCCAAUCAAACCGGGUAAUAGCUGGUUCUCCGCGAAAUCUAUUUAGGUAGAGCGUCAGUCGAAUACCAUCGGGGGUAGAGCACUGGAUGGACUAGGGGUGAGCGAUCACUACCAAAUCUAACCAAACUCCGAAUACCGAUGAGUAAUGACUGGCAGACACACCAUGGGUGAUAAGGUCCGUGGUGAAAAGGGAAACAGCCCAGAUCUACAGCUAAGGUCCCCAAGUAAUGACUAAGUGGAAAAGGAAGUUGAAUGUCCAUAACAACCAGGAAGUUGGCUUAGAAGCAGCCAUCUUUUAAAGAAAGCGUAACAGCUCACUGGUCUAAUUAAGACGUUUGGCGCCGAAGAUAUAACGGGGCUUAAGUCAUUCACCGAAGCUUAGAAUGCAUACUUAACUGUAUGCGUGGUAGCGGAGCAUUCUGUAAGCCUGCGAAGGCGACUCGCGAGAGUUGCUGGAGGUAUCAGAAGAGAGAAUGCGGACAUGAGUAACGAGAAGAGUGUGAGAAACACUCUCGUCGAAAUCCCAAGGGUUCCUGCGCAAUGUUAAUCAGCGCAGGGUGAGCCGGCUCCUAAGGCGAGGCCGAAAGGCGUAGUCGAUGGGAACCACGUUAAUAUUCGUGGGCCAGUGGAAUGUGACGGUAGCCGUAAGCGGUCAAUCCUUAUUGGAUUGGUAUUGGCCGUGAAGGAUAUCCAGGAAAUAGCAUCCACGUGAGACCGUACCCGAAACCGACACAGGUGGGAUGGUAGAGUAUACCAAGACGCUUGAGAGAACUGUUCUGAAGGAACUCGGCAAAUUGCAUCCGUAACUUCGGAAGAAGGAUGACCCAUCUGUACGCAAGUAUGGUUGGGUGGCACAAACUAGGUGGUGGCGACUGUUUAUCAAAAACACAGGGCUCUGCGAAGUCGCAAGACGACGUAUAGGGUCUGACGCCUGCCCGGUGCUGGAAGGUUAAAGGGAGGAGUGCAAGCUCCGAACUGAAGCCCCAGUAAACGGCGGCCGUAACUAUAACGGUCCUAAGGUAGCGAAAUUCCUUGUCGGGUAAGUUCCGACCUGCACGAAUGGCGUAACGACUUCCACACUGUCUCCAGAGCAGACUCAGUGAAAUUGAAUUCCCCGUGAAGAUGCGGGGUACUCGCGGUUAGACGGAAAGACCCUAUGAACCUUUACUAUAACUUCGCAGUGGCAAUACGAUUUUCUUGUGUAGCUUAGGUGGGAGACUUUGAAGUAGGGGCGCAAGCCUUUAUGGAGUCAUCAGUGAAAUACCACCCUAGGACUUUGUGUUGUCUAACCUCUCUCCAUUAUCUGGAGAAGGGACCCUGCGUGGUGGGUAGUUUGACUGGGGCGGUCGCCUCCCAAAUUGUAACGGAGGCGCGCGAUGGUGAGCUCAGGACGGUCGGAAAUCGUCCUUCGAGUGCAUUGGCAUAAGCUCGCCUGACUGUGACGCUGACAAGCGGAGCAGAGACGAAAGUCGGUCAAAGUGAUCCGGUGGUUUCCGUAUGGAAGGGCCAUCGCUCAACGGAUAAAAGGUACUCUAGGGAUAACAGGCUGAUAGCGCCCAAGCGCCCACAGCGACGGCGCUGUUUGGCACCUCGAUGUCGGCUCAUCUCAUCCUGGGGCUGGAGAAGGUCCCAAGGGUAUGGCUGUUCGCCAUUUAAAGAGGUACGUGAGCUGGGUUCAGAACGUCGUGAGACAGUUCGGUCCCUAUCUUCCGUGAGAGUUGGAGUUUUGAGAGGGUCUGUCCUUAGUACGAGAGGACCGGGAUGGACGCACCUCUGGUGUACCUGUUGUCGCGCCAGCGGCAUAGCAGGGUAGCUAUGUGCGGAAUGGAUAAACGCUGAAAGCAUCUAAGCGUGAAGCCAGCCUCAAUACCAGAACUCCCUAUUAGAGCCGUGGAAGACCACCACGUUGAUAGGCUGGAUGUGGAAGCGCUGUAAGGCGUGAAGCUAACCAGUACUAAUUGCUCGAUUGGCUUGAAUUC
rnacentral:rRNA from 1 species